rnacentral:rRNA from 1 species
ACACAUGCAAGUCGAGGGGCAGCAUGAUUGAAGCUUGCUUCAAUUGAUGGCGACCGGCGCACGGGUGAGUAACGCGUAUCCAACCUUCCGUACACUCAGGGAUAGCCUUUCGAAAGAAAGAUUAAUACCUGAUGGUAUGAUGAGAUUGCAUGAUAGCAUCAUUAAAGAUUUAUCGGUGUACGAUGGGGAUGCGUUCCAUUAGGUAGUAGGCGGGGUAAUGGCCCACCUAGCCGACGAUGGAUAGGGGUUCUGAGAGGAAGGUCCCCCACAUUGGAACUGAGACACGGUCCAAACUCCUACGGGAGGCAGCAGUGAGGAAUAUUGGUCAAUGGACGAGAGUCUGAACCAGCCAAGUAGCGUGAAGGAUGAAGGUCCUACGGAUUGUAAACUUCUUUUAUAAGGGAAUAAAACCUCCCACGUGUGGGAGCUUGUAUGUACCUUAUGAAUAAGCAUCGGCUAACUCCGUGCCAGCAGCCGCGGUAAUACGGAGGAUGCGAGCGUUAUCCGGAUUUAUUGGGUUUAAAGGGAGCGCAGACGGGUCGUUAAGUCAGCUGUGAAAGUUUGGGGCUCAACCUUAAAAUUGCAGUUGAUACUGGCGUCCUUGAGUGCGGUUGAGGUGUGCGGAAUUCGUGGUGUAGCGGUGAAAUGCUUAGAUAUCACGAAGAACUCCGAUUGCGAAGGCAGCACACUAAGCCGUAACUGACGUUCAUGCUCGAAAGUGUGGGUAUCAAACAGGAUUAGAUACCCUGGUAGUCCACACGGUAAACGAUGGAUACUCGCUGUUGGCGAUAUACAGUCAGCGGCUUAGCGAAAGCGUUAAGUAUCCCACCUGGGGAGUACGCCGGCA